rnacentral:rRNA from 1 species
CCUACGGGAGGCAGCAGUGGGGAAUUUUGCGCAAUGGGGGCAACCCUGACGCAGCAACGCCGCGUGAGUGAUGAAGGCCUUCGGGUCGUAAAGCUCUGUCAGAGGGGAAGAAAGGCAGGUGGUGAACAACCAUUCUGUUUGACGGGACCCUCAAAGGAAGGACCGGCUAACUCCGUGCCAGCAGCCGCGGUAAUACGGAGGGUGCGAGCGUUGUUCGGAAUUAUUGGGCGUAAAGCGCGUGUAGGCGGUUUUUUAAUUCUGAUGUGAAAGCCCCGGGCUCAACCGGGGAAGUGCAUUGGAUACUGGCAGACUUGAGUCCGGGAGAGGAGAGUGGAAUUCCCGGUGUAGGGGUGAAAUCCGUAGAUAUUGGGAGGAACACCGGUGGCGAAGGCGGCUCUCUGGACCAAUACUGACGCUGAGACGCGAAAGCGUGGGGAGCAAACAGGAUUAGAUCCCCGGGUAGU